rnacentral:rRNA from 1 species
UUGGAGGGCAAGUCUGGUGCCCGCAGCCGCGGUAAUUCCGAAGCUCCAAGUAGCGUAUAUUAAAGUUGUUGUGGUUAAAAAGCUCGUAGUUGAACCUUGGGCCUGGCUGGCCGGUCCGCCUCACCGCGUGUACUGGUCCGGCCGGGCCUUUCCCUCUGUGGAACCCCAUGCCCUUCACUGGGUGUGGCGGGGAAACGGGACUUUUACUGUGAAAAAAUUAGAGUGCUCCAGGCAGGCCUAUGCUCGAAUACAUUAGCAUGGAAUAAUAGAAUAGGACGUGUGGUU